rnacentral:rRNA from 1 species
UAAUGCCUACGGGAGGCAGCAGUGGGGAAUAUUGCACAAUGGGGGAAACCCUGAUGCAGCAACGCCGCGUGAGUGAAGAAGUAUUUCGGUAUGUAAAGCUCUAUCAGCAGGGAAGAAGAAAGACGGUACCUGACUAAGAAGCCCCGGCUAACUACGUGCCAGCAGCCGCGGUAAUACGUAGGGGGCAAGCGUUAUCAGGAUUUACUGGGGGUAAAGGGAGCGGAGACGGAAUAGCAAGUCUGAAGUGA